GCAACAAAAUUCCGCAACCCUUGUCGUCUCCUUCCUCUCGCAUUCCUCCUCCUUACCUUGCCCUAGGUCGAGUCGACGCGACGAGAUUUGCGGCGGCGAUGGCUCUCCCGGCGUCGAGCUCCGGCCUCUUCCGCUUCAUCUCUCCACGGCGCCGCCCCCAGUCCACCGACAUCGCCGCCGCCGCCACCUGGGGCGUCUUCGCCGGCACCGCCGCCAUCUACCUCGUCCAGCCAUUUGACUGGAUUAAGAAAACUUUCUUUGAGAAACCCGAACCAGAGGCAUAAGUCUGCCAGGCAUAUGGAAGGCUGCAACUUUUGAUACAUUUACGUUUCCGGGAUGAUUUCUGAGUGAAGAGAACUUGGAUGACCCUGCAAAUAAUAUAAAAGACAGUCAUGUUCCCUUGUUUGAUUUUAAUGUAGGUUUCUCUUGCAUGUAAACCCCAGGAGGGGAAUGAUGAUUAUAUUGAGUUAUUUCUCAUCUCAGCGAAACCUUUUUCUUGGUUUUUUCUCAUCUCAGCGAAACCUUUUUCUUGGUUUAGCAGUGAUAUAAAUUCGUGGUCCUGAUGAUUGUUUGUCGUA